rnacentral:rRNA from 1 species
AUGAACGCUGGCGGCGUGCCUAACACAUGCAAGUCGAGCGAAGCAAUGUUAAGGAAGUUUACGGAUGGAAUUAAGAUUGACUGAGCGGCGGACGGGUGAGUAACGCGUGGGUAACCUGCCUCAUACAGGGGGAUAACAGUUAGAAAUGACUGCUAAUACCGCAUAAGCGCACAGGACCGCAUGGUCCGGUGUGAAAAACUCCGGUGGUAUGAGAUGGACCCGCGUCUGAUUAGUUAGUUGGCGGGGUAGCGGCCCACCAAGACGACGAUCAGUAGCCGACCUGAGAGGGUGACCGGCCACAUUGGGACUGAGACACGGCCCAAACUCCUACGGGAGGCAGCAGUGGGGAAUAUUGCACAAUGGGGGAAACCCUGAUGCAGCGACGCCGCGUGAGUGAAGAAGUAUUUCGGUAUGUAAAGCUCUAUCAGCAGGGAAGAAGUUGACGGUACCUGAGUAAGAAGCCCCGGCUAACUACGUGCCAGCAGCCGCGGUAAUACGUAGGGGGCAAGCGUUAUCCGGAUUUACUGGGUGUAAAGGGAGCGU